UCACACACACACACACACACACAACACACACACACACAAUAUACUGUAUAUGUGUGUGUAUGUUUCUGUGUGUGAAUGUGA